UAGUGAGUAAGUGUAUGGGGAUUGGUGAGUAAGUUUAUGGGCACAAGUAAGUUAUGGGCAUUGGUGAGUAAGUUUUGGGGGCAGGUGAGUAAUUUCAUGGGCUCAGGUGAAUAAGUUUAUGGGCAUUGGUAAGUAAGUUUAUGGGCACAAGUAAGUUAUGGGCAUUGGUGAGUAAGUUUUGGGGGCAAGGUGAGUAAGUUUGUUUGCACAAAUGAGUAAGUUAUGAGAGAGAGAGAGAGAGAGAGAGAGAGAGAGAGAGAGAGAGAGAGAGAGAGAGAGAGAGAGAGAGAGAGAGAGAGAGAGAGAGAGAGAGAGAGAGAGAGAGAGAGAGAGAGAGAGAGAGAGAGAGAGAUCUAUACAGCAAGGUCUAACAAUAGGUACAUCCAGCCUGCCUGAAAGGAAGGAUGAACAUAACCUAACCUUACUCACCUACAUACCUAUGACAAAAUUAAUUCUUGCUCAAAUGUUUUUGGGGAAAAUUCAUAAGUGGGCAACAAUUAAAUGACUGUCCAGGGAUGAUGAUUCCAACCCUGGCUGGCAGAUUCAAAGGUAGGCAUGCUAACCACUACACCAUGGAGCCAUAAGAAUUAGCCACACUAUACCAGGACAAAUAAUUCUUAGUGUGUGCCCUGGUAAGAUUCAAAUGUGCAGCCCUGGUAGUGAGUAAGUGUAUGGGGAUUGGUGAGUAAGUUUAUGGGCACAAGUAAGUUAUGGGCAUUGGUGAGUAAGUUUUGGGGGCAGGUGAGUAAUUUCAUGGGCUCAGGUGAAUAAGUUUAUGGGCAUUGGUAAGUAAGUUUAUGGGCACAAGUAAGUUAUGGGCAUUGGUGAGUAAGUUUUGGGGGCAGGUGAGUAAGUUCAUGGGCUCAGGUGAGUAAGUUUAUGGGCAUAAGUGAGUAAGUUUUGGGGGCAAGGUGAGUAAGUUUAUGGGCAUUGGUGAGUAAGUUUUGGGGGCAGGUGAGUAAGUUCAUGGGCUCAGGUGAGUAAGUUUAUGGGCAUUGGUGAGUAAGUUUAUGGGCACAAGUGAGUAAGUUAUGGAUAUAGGUGAGUAAGUUUUGGGGGCAAGGUGAGUAAGUUUGUUUGCACAAAUGAGUAAGUUAUGGGAGAGAGAGAGAGAGAGAGAGAGAGAGAGAGAGAGAGAGAGAGAGAGAGAGAGAGAGAGAGAGAGAGAGAGAGAGAGAGAGAGAGAGAGAGAGAGAGAGAGAGAGAGAGAGAGAGAGAGAGAGAGAGAGAGAGAUCUAUACAGCAAGGUCUAACAAUAGGUACAUCCAGCCCACCUGAAAGGAAAGAUGAACAUAACCUAACCUUACUCACCUACAUACCUAUGACAAAAUUAAUUUUUACUCAAAUGUUUUUGGGGAAAAUUCUUAAGUGGGCAACAAUUAAAUGACUGUCCAGGGAGGGGGAUUCCAACCCUGGCUGGCAGAUUCAUAGGUAGGCAUGCUAACUACUACCCCACGGAGCCAUAAGAAUUCGCCACACUAUACCAGGACAAAUCAUUCUUAGUGUGUGCCCUGGUAAGAUUCAAAUGUGCAGCCCUGGUAGUGAGUAAGUGUAUGGGGAUUGGUGAGUAAGUUUAUGGGCACAAGUAAGUUUUGGGCAUUGGUGAGUAAGUUUUGGGGGCAGGUGAGUAAGUUCAUGGGCUCAGGUGAGUAAGUUUAUGGGCAUUGGUGAGUAAGUUUUUGGGGAAAGGUGAGUAGGUUUAUGGCACCAGUAAGUUUAUGGGCAUUGGUGAGUAAGUUCAUGGGUUCAGGUGAGUAAGUUUAUGGGCACAAGUGAGUAAGUUUAUGGGCACAAGUGA